rnacentral:rRNA from 1 species
GUCUACAGCCAUGCUACCCUGAACAAGCCCGAUCUCAUCUACUCUCGGAAGCUAAGCAGGGUAGGGCCUGGUUAGUACUUGGGUGGGAGACCACUCGGGAAGACCAGGUGCUGUAGGUG